rnacentral:tRNA from 1 species
GCGGGAGUAGCUCAGAGGUAGAGCACCACCAUGCCAUGGUGGAGGUCACGGUAUCGAAACCCGUCUCCCGCUCCA